GUGGGGGAUAUUGCACAAUGGGGGAAACCCUGAUGCAGCAAUGCCGCGUGAGGGAAGAAGGUCUUCGGAUUGUAAACCUAAGUAGCCAGGGACGAUAAUGACGGUACCUGGAGAGUAAGCUCCGGCUAACUACGUGCCAGCAGCCGCGGUAAUACGUAGGGAGCGAGCGUUGUCCGGAUUUACUGGGUGUAAAGGGUGCGUAGGCGGGAUGGCAAGUCAGAUGUGAAAUACCGGGGCUUAACCCCGGGGCUGCAUUUGAAACUGUCGUUCUUGAGUGAAGUAGAGGCAGGCGGAAUUCCUAGUGUAGCGGUGAAAUGCGUAGAUAUUAGGAGGAACACCAGUGGCGAAGGCGGCCUGCUGGGCUUUAACUGACGCUGAGGCACGAAAGCAUGGGGAGCAAACAGGA
rnacentral:rRNA from 1 species